CCCACCUCAACAGUCAGUAGAGCAUGAGACUCUUUAUCUCAGGGCUGUGGGUUCAAGUCUCAUGUUGGGGA